rnacentral:rRNA from 1 species
AGAGGGGUGCGAGCGUUAAUCGGAAUUACUGGGCGUAAAGAGUACGUAGGGUGGUUUAUCAAGUUGGGCUGUGAAAUCCCCCGGGGCUUAACCUGGGCUGGCCAGCCAAUACUGAUAAGCUAGAGACCAAGAGAGGGUAGUGGAAUUUCCGGUGUAGCGGUGAAAUGCAUAGAUAUCGGAAGGAACACCAGUGGCGAAGGCGGCUACCUGGCUUGGUUCUGACACUGAGGUACGAAAGCGUGGGGAGCAAACAGGAUUAGAUACCCUGGUAGUCCACGCUGUAAACGAUGACAACUAGCUGUUGGGGGCGUAAGUUCUCAGUGGCGCAGUUAACACGUUAAGUUGUCCGCCUGGGGAGUACGGCCGCAAGGUUAA